rnacentral:rRNA from 1 species
CCUACGGGGGGCAGCAGUGAGGAAUAUUGGUCAAUGGACGAGAGUCUGAACCAGCCAAGUAGCGUGAAGGAUGACUGCCCUAUGGGUUGUAAACUUCUUUUAUAUGGGAAUAAAAUGUUCCACGUGUGGGAUUUUGUAUGUACCAUAUGAAUAAGGAUCGGCUAACUCCGUGCCAGCAGCCGCGGUAAUACGGAGGAUCCGAGCGUUAUCCGGAUUUAUUGGGUUUAAAGGGAGCGUAGGUGGAUUGUUAAGUCAGUUGUGAAAGUUUGCGGCUCAACCAUAAAAUUGCAGUUGAAACUGGCAGUCUUGAGUACAGUAGAGGUGGGCGGAAUUCGUGGUGUAGCGGUGAAAUGCUUAGAUAUCACGAAGAACUCCGAUUGCGAAGGCAGUUCACUGGACUGCAACUGACACUGAGGCUCGAAAGUGUGGGUAUCAAACAGGAUUAGAUACCCGGGUAGUC